rnacentral:rRNA from 1 species
GACGUAGGGCGCGAGCGUUGUCCGGAUUUAUUGGGCGUAAAGAGCUCGUAGGCGGCCAACUAAGUCGGACGUGAAAUCCCUCGGCUUAACCGGGGAACUGCGUCCGAUACUGGAUGGCUUGAGUUUGGGAGAGGGAUGCGGAAUUCCAGGUGUAGCGGUGAAAUGCGUAGAUAUCUGGAGGAACACCGGUGGCGAAGGCGGCAUCCUGGACCAACACUGACGCUGAUGAGCGAAAGCCAGGGGAGCAAACGGG